rnacentral:rRNA from 1 species
UCACUCGUGGCAUCCGCUGCGCUGCUGGGCCGACCCUCCCACCCGUGUCGAUUUGUAUCUUGUUGCUUUGGCAGGCCGGGACGCGCUGUUGCAGUCCGCAUGGACAUGCGUCAGCCGCCCCCCCGGUGUUCCACUGGAGCGCGCCCGCCAAAGACCCAACCAAAACUCAUGUUGUUUGUAUCGGCUCAGCUUUAUUAUGAAAAUUGAUAAAACUUUCAACAACGGAUCUCUUGGCUCUGGCAUCGAUGAAGAACGCAGCGAAAUGCGAUAAGUAAUGUGAAUUGCAGAAUUUAGUGAAUCAUCCAAUCUUUGAACGCACAUUGUGCCCCUUGGUAUUCCGAGGGGCAUGCCUGUUCGAGCGGCAUAACACCCCCUCCAGCUGCCAUUGUGUGGCUGCUGUGUUGGGGUUCGUCCCGAGACCGUGGUAUUUAAAGCUAAUGACCCGUCCAACGAGGGAUUACCCCAAGCAUUUGGCAUCUCUGGACAAANUGAUCACGGAGGAUUGCCACAAUAAUCAUCUUUUGCAUUUUUAACAUGNNUCAAGGCAAUCUGUANAAUAUUGCUGAAUAUCCGGGUUAG